rnacentral:tRNA from 1 species
UUAUAAAAUAAUAAAUAUUUAAUUUUACAAUGAGAAUGUAAUGUUUUUUAAACUAUAUAAAUAAAGAAAU